AGCCGGGCCAGCUGCACAGGUAGGCAAUCGAACCAGGUCAGGUUCGGAAGAAAGCAGCCUUAAGAUUAGCCUGCCCGGUGCGGCCUGUUCACCCGGCUCUG
rnacentral:SRP_RNA from 2 species